AAGCUAAUUAAUCUGAUUUCCCUAGUUUAUAAGUUGUUACAAUUGAAUGAACCUUGUUUGCAAGCAUAGGAUUAGUUGCCGCCCACCAUAAAUCCCUUGUAGACUAGAAAAAUCUAAUCUGAUUUGGUUU
rnacentral:pre_miRNA from 1 species